AGUCUCCUUCGCGAGCUUAAGAAACAUUUUCAGCAGCUCGGGCUGUUGAUAGUGAACAAGAGGAAAUGUAAAGAAUUCCACCCAGAGCUCACAGUGGUAUCCACGGUUCAACCGAACAAUUUCUGUGCUUUAUGCUCGAGGAGACCUGCAAGAGAUAAUUUUGUGACUUUUCUAACCAGAUACCCAGGUGGAGGGAGAGGUGCCGAACGGGGUUUUGGCCCCAGGCCUGCUGGGUCUCAGGAGCUGUGCCGAGCUCUGUCAUACAAACUUGGAGCGAGAUGUUGUCCUCCAGACGCUGGCUCCACAGCACCCGGAGAAUCUCCAGUGCUUUGGGAAGCAUGCUAUCACAAAAUAAACAGGCAGCAUGUCCCGAAGCUGAUAAAUGGAUGCAGAGGGCCAGCCCGUCUUCCUGACAGCAGGGCAAUCCCCCUGAGCUCAACCACAGCACAACAGUCCCUCAGAAAUUCACCCUUUCAGGCAGUGAGGGGGAGGUUGGAGCACAUCCAAGGAGGCAACCAUCUCACGGGAUGUGGCACAUCAGGGUGCACCCCACGAGGCUCUCUCCUAUCUCUCCCAGGACUCCACCUUUCCACCAGGUGA
rnacentral:lncRNA from 1 species